rnacentral:rRNA from 1 species
GAUGAACGCUAGCUACAGGCUUAACACAUGCAAGUCGAGGGGAAACGACAUCGAAAGCUUGCUUUUGGUGGGCGUCGACCGGCGCACGGGUGAGUAACGCGUAUCCAACCUGCCCACCACUUGGGGAUAACCUUGCGAAAGUAAGACUAAUACCCAAUGAUAUCCCACGAAGGCAUCCGAAUGGGAUUAAAGAUUUAUCGGUGAUGGAUGGGGAUGCGUCUGAUUAGCUUGUUGGCGGGGUAACGGCCCACCAAGGCAACGAUCAGUAGGGGUUCUGAGAGGAAGGUCCCCCCACAUUGGAACUGAGACACGGUCCAAACUCCUACGGGAGGCAGCAGUGAGGAAUAUUGGUCAAUGGGCGAGAGCCUGAACCAGCCAAGUAGCGUGCAGGAUGACGGCCCUAUGGGUUGUAAACUGCUUUUAUAAGGGAAUAAAGUGAGCCUCGUGAGGCUUUUUGCAUGUACCUUAUGAAUAAGGACCGGCUAAUUCCGUG